GAGCUAACAAGGACAUAGCUUUAGCUCUUGCUUCAUCUAGAAUCGCUGCGAUAUUGUUACCUGGUGGGAGGACUGCUCAUUCAGCGCUGAAGUUGCCGUUGAACAUGCAAAUCAUCGAGACUCCUACGUGCAACAUUUCCAGAGCAUCUGGCAAGGGAAAGUAUUGCGAAGAUGUAAAUUCAAACUCGAUAUCCGAAUAAAUUAUAGGAAUCACGAUGGGCUUAGUGGACGAGCGACUCUCGCUGCCAAGAACAAAGAUGUCUACCAGCUCAAUCAUGUAAUCCAGUCCAAGCAAUUCAUUGGCCAGCCAACAUCGAUUUUUUCCAUCUCUACGUCCGCAUCGAAGAAGAAAACGCGUAAUUUGUUCUGUUGGUGGUGUUGGCUGAAGUAGUGGAGUGGACGGUCAUGGACAGAUACCUGAAACGAACAUCAAAUUCAGAGGAAAAUGUGGAGGAGCCAGCUCAAAAAAGAAACGAGAAGCUUCCAUCGCUUGGAAUCAUUUCAAGAAAACGGUUGAAAAAAACACAUGCCGUUUGUAAUUACUGUGGAAAGGCCAUAAAAACGAUGGGAAACACCACAAACCUUCUUAACCAUCUGAGCAACGUACAUCCAGAACGGCUUAAAGACAGCAAAGGCAAAAAUCAUACAACCGCUUUAGAUGUGUUUAUGGGAAAGUCCACUGUGCAUUAUAUCAAUGAUUCGGCGAGGAAAAGAAAGAUUGAUGAAAUGGUGCUAAACAUGAUUGCUGUGGAUGUUCAGCCUUUUAGUUGUGUCGAGGAUGAGGGUUUCAUUGCCCUCCUGAAAGAAAUGGACCCUCGAUACAAAUUGCCAAGUAGGACAUACUUGCGGGAUGUUUCUUUGCCAAUACAAUAUGAACAAGAAAGGAGCUAACUUCGGCACGCCGAA